GAUUAGCCUAAUUUAAGCCGCUAACUUAAAAUCAACGAAUAAAAUUGUUACUAAUCU
rnacentral:tRNA from 1 species